rnacentral:rRNA from 1 species
GAUGAACGCUGGCGGCGUGCCUAAUACAUGCAAGUCGAGCGAACAGACGAGGAGCUUGCUCCUCUGACGUUAGCGGCGGACGGGUGAGUAACACGUGGAUAACCUACCUAUAAGACUGGGAUAACUUCGGGAAACCGGAGCUAAUACCGGAUAACAUGUUGAACCGCAUGGUUCAACAGUGAAAGACGGUCUUGCUGUCACUUAUAGAUGGAUCCGCGCCGCAUUAGCUAGUUGGUAAGGUAACGGCUUACCAAGGCAACGAUGCGUAGCCGACCUGAGAGGGUGAUCAGCCACACUGGAACUGAGACACGGUCCAGACUCCUACGGGAGGCAGCAGUGGGGAAUCUUCCGCAAUGGGCGAAAGCCUGACGGAGCAACGCCGCGUGAGUGAAGAAGGUCUUCGGAUCGUAAAGCUCUGUUAUUAGGGAAGAACAAAUGUGUAAGAAACUAUGCACGUCUUGACGGUACCUAAUCAGAAAGCCACGGCUAACUACGUG